AGGGAGGAAGGUAGUGUAGUUAACACCUGCAUUAUUUGACGUUACCUACAGAAGAAGCACCGGACUAACUCCGUGCCAGCAGCCGACGGUAAGUACGGGAGGGUGCGAGCGUUAAGUCGGAAUUACUGGGCGUAAAGCGCAUGCAGGCGGCCUGUUAAGUCAGAUGUGAAAGCCCGGGGCUUAACCUCGGAAUUGCAUUUGAAACUGGCAGGCUAGAGUCUUGUAGAGGGGGGUAGGAAUUUCAGGUGUAGCGGUGAAAUGCGUAGAGAUCUGAAGGAAUACCAGUGGCGAAGGCGGCCCCCUGGACAAAGACUGACGCUCAGAUGCGAAAGCGUGGGGAGCAAACAGGAUUAGAUACCCUGGUAG
rnacentral:rRNA from 1 species